AGUUGCACCCAGAGCUAUAGAGAGAGAGAGUUGCGACACUUCCAUUGGACUCCGUUGUAGCGCCUACUUCCGGGGUAUGGAGCCUCGAAUAGUUCCAAACAACCAUUUUACGGCGUAGGAGACCGUUUAUUUCCAUUGCUGGCCGCCGAGUAACUUCUGAGUUGCCUUAUUAGGUCCUCCACAGUCGCCCCAUCAGUCCCUGGCAGUCUGGUCCCUGGAGCAGCUGGCCCUGGCAAAAGUUAUUCCUUCACGGUUGACCCCUGACUGACUGGCCCUCGGCACACAAAUCCCUGGAUCACCCGCCACUGGAUCACCUGCCCCUGGAUCACCUGCCCCUGAAUCACCUGCCCCUGGCAAUGUGGCCUCUUGAUUGCUCUCUCUGUCUCCUGUGAUGUCCUUUUCAACGCUCUUGAAAUCCACCUAAAUUUCUCCCUCAAUCUCUGUAACAAUUACAAGGUAAUGUUGCUGUUAUAUGUAUUUUGCCUUUGCAUUUGCAACUACUGUCAUCUCCAAUGUAAGAAAAUGAAUUAAAGCAAAACAUUUCUGUAAUGUGAAUUAAAUCAUCUGCCACAAUCAGAAACCAAUACAAUUUAUAAAUGGA